CAUUGAUGAUUUAUGUAAUCAUUAUUAUGUCCCUGUAUCCCCUGCGCAUUCCCCUUUUUAGGGACUUCCCACAGGCUCAGAAUUGUUGUCCGUGCGGUGUUUGUUUCACUAUAUAUAGCUGGGCGCACGUAAGCCGUCCCCCUUUUGAGGGACGGCUUCCCCAGACCUGGUCCCUUCGCACCUUUCAGGUGUCGUUUGACCUAGGGUCUAUACCUGCGCCCAUAACAGGGAUUUGUAAACUGCAGGGGUUUCAUUCCUUUUACCCCUGGCUUUCCUGCAUGUCCCUGGAUCUCUUUUUGGCCCUUUGUCCAUAUACUUACUACUUUAAUACCUUUACCUCGUUUGUGUCCUUGGCCUGGUAUACAUUGAACAAUGUCCCCUCCUUAUUUAAAUGGCCUUAUCAUUUUCCUAUUAUAUAUUUUAUGUCUGGUGUCCUUCCCAGCAGCUUUUUUUGCCGUUUUUUACAACCAAUAAUCAUUUCCCAGUUUAACCUUCACUGCUGACACCUUCUCAGCAGUCUUUGUCUCCGCACCGCCCCUUCCCUUUACAUUAGCCUAUUCCCAUUUACUUCCUGUCCCACUCUCCUUUCCGUGUCAGGUGACUGACUGUCACCUGACAGGCCUUCUCAGUCUUUUCCCCAUGCUGUCUGUUUACUACUGCCCACUUCCACACUACCGGCCUAUUACGGCUCGCCUGGUCUCUCCGACCACGCCUGCCGUACCUAGGCCCGCCCCCUUACUUCCCUAUAUAAACCUCUAGCCGUCCAAACAAUGUCAGACAUUGCUGGACGGCAGAGGUACUAGUGACAUGUCUGGUGGCCACACUGAGCGCUUGUCUCUUAUUGGAGCUCUGCUAGCUCUCUACUGACACCUCUGGCCAAAUUUAAUAUGACACAUCUCUGCUAACCUCAGGUUUUUACAUUAUCAUAUGUUACUUUGUGACUAUAUGGGCCUGAGGUCUUGCUAUAUGUGAUUCUGCACCGCCGGCUUUCUUCCUCUUAAUUUCAUCCAGAGGAGUCUUUCUGCGUCCUGAUAGUGGUGUCCUUUCUCUGGGGUGUGCAGGGUUGAUUAAACGCUGUGAUUGAAAAGUGGUUCUUAUACUCGUUGACUACAUAUACUUCGGCCCCUGAUGAAGGGCAAUCCGAAACGCGUAGGGCCGUGUAUGUCUUCAUGGACCUUGCUUUUCAAUGACACCUAACCAUGUAUUGUUUUUAAAUAAUUCUAUGUGAUAUAUGUGUACAAUUUCCAUUUUUGAAUAUUAAAUUAUCUAUUUUUUGGAUUA